UACGUAGGGGGCUAGCGUUGUCCGGAAUCAUUGGGCGUAAAGAGCGUGUAGGCGGCUCAGUAAGUCCGCUGUGAAAGUCCAGGGCUCAACCCUGGAAUGCCAGUGGAAACUGUUGAGCUAGAGUCCGGAAGAGGCGAGUGGAAUUCCUGGUGUAGCGGUGAAAUGCGUAGAUAUCAGGAGGAACACCAAUGGCGAAGGCAGCUCGCUGGGACGGUACUGACGCUGAGAAGCGAAAGCAUGGGGAGCGAACAGG
rnacentral:rRNA from 1 species